GGYUAGCGGCGGACGGGUGAGUAACACGUGGGCAACCUGCCUGUAAGAYYGGGAUAACGCCGGGAAACCGGGGCUAAUACCRGAUMGUUUUUUCCUCCGCAUGGAGGAAAAAGGAAAGGCGGCUUCGGCUGYCACUUACAGAUGGGCCCGCGGCGCAUUAGCUAGUUGGYGGGGUAACGGCCCACCAAGGCAACGAUGCGUAGCCGACCUGAGAGGGUGAUCGGCCACAUUGGGACUGAGACACGGCCCAAACUCCUACGGGAGGCAGCAGUAGGGAAUCUUCCGCAAUGGACGAAAGUCUGACGGAGCAACGCCGCGUGAGUGAAGAAGGCCUUCGGGUCGUAAAACUCUGUUGCCGGGGAAGAACAAGUGCCGUUCGAACAG
rnacentral:rRNA from 1 species